rfam:Schistosoma rodhaini strain Burundi genome assembly, scaffold: SROB_scaffold0003857
AUCCAGCUGAAGAGUCUCAACUAGGACGAAACGCGAGUAUUGGAU